GCUUGCGUCCCGGGAGCCCGGCCUCGUGCGCCGCGCUUUGAGCAGCAGACUGCUCGACAAACACUGCGCCAAGAGCUCCUCAGCAGAAGCUCCUCGCAUCAGAUCCUCUGUGCUGGGAAUCCUCCCCUCUUGAGCACACUCUGUGCUCCUCUUCCAGUUACGGUGCAUGUGAAGCAAUGGUAUGGGAAAAUUGUUUGCAGAAGGAUGAAAAGGCUUUAUUGCCAAACUAAACUGGACCAGGAAAGUCUCGUGAGGAGCUGAUCCCAUUGCAUCAAGCUCUAAUUACCUGAUGUAACAGGAAGCCGGGGGGGCGUCCAGUCUCUCAGCUUGUGGUUGAUACACAAGGCGAUAAGAUCAUCCCAUGGGAUCUCCAUGACCGAGGGGCCUGCCCCAUGGACUGGGGAGGGACUCUUGCUCUUCCACCUACAGUAGGUUCUGUGGAGCAGGUUCUCCACCUGGGACUGGAGGACAGGCUGUGUCUGGCGUGAGCUGGGGAUCUGGGAGGCGUACUGGACAACCAUGGAGCACACGGGGAGCCAGGGGGCUGGGGAGAAAGUGCCUCAUUAGUUACA
ensembl:lncRNA MCM3AP-AS1 MCM3AP antisense RNA 1